AGAGUUUGAUCCUGGCUCAGAACGAACGCUGGCGGCGUGCCUAACACAUGCAAGUCGCGCGAGAAAGUGGGGGCAACUCCAUGAGUAAAGCGGCGCACGGGUGAGUAAUACGUAGGUAACCUGCCUUCGAGAUCGGGAUAACCUUCCGAAAGGAGGGCUAAUACUGGAUGAGACCACAGAGUUUCGGCUCCGUGGUCAAAGGUGGCCUCUGCUCGCAAGCUACCGCUCGAAGAUGGGCCUGCGCACCAUUAGCUAGUUGGCGAGGUAACGGCUCACCAAGGCGAAGAUGGUUAGCUGAUCUGAGAGGAUGAUCAGCCACACUGGGACUGAGACACGGCCCAGACUCCUACGGGAGGCAGCAGUGGGGAAUCUUGGACAAUGGGGGAAACCCUGAUCCAGCGACGCCGCGUGGGUGAUGAAGGCCUUCGGGUCGUAAAGCCCUGUCGGGGGGGAAGAAACUCUUGCCGGUGAACAAUCGGCGAGACCGACGGUACCCCCUAAGGAAGCACCGGCUACUCCGUGCCAGCAGCCGCGGUA
rnacentral:rRNA from 1 species